AAAGUGGCGAGACAAUCACAUUAUAGGUGGCGAAUCAAUAUUCACACACUCAAUUCCAGAACUUGUGGCGAGGCAAUUCUCACACACAAGUAUAAAAGUUAAACUUGACUUUCUGUGGCGAGGCAAUUCUCACACACAGAUCUGUAUAUAUAACGACUGGAUUAAUUUCGAUUGAUUGUGGCGAAACAAUUUUCACACACAAAAAU
rnacentral:lncRNA from 1 species